AAUUUGCCAUACCCGACCAGACGAAACGAACUUGUUUUCUGCCAGCAAUACCCACAGCUCUCUUUUAGGCACCGGUACUUCCCUUAAUUUCUAGAUAGGUCACAGAAGCUAGAUUAUCUGUCUCAUCUAAGGACACACUAGCAAAUGGCAGAGUCAAGACCAAACCAUUGCUGAUUCCAAAGCCCAUGUUCUUUCUAAUCUACCCCACUACCUUGGCUUACCAUUUAUGCAUUUCAUUUUUUAGUGCUGGAGAAAGGGGUUAAAAAUAGCUUUAUUUCUAUUUCUCCCUAUAAGAGCAAAGUCAAUGCACACGUUGGUACAAUAAUAAUAACAGAACUCACAGGGGUUGUGCUCCUCCUUUGCGCCAGGUCUGGGCCACAUGCCUUGGAGGAGUUAUCUUAUUUCGUCUUUACAGCUCCGUGGAGUAGGUGCAAGCAUUUGGGAUCUCCUUUUACAUGUGAGGGCACUGAGGCCCUCCCAGGUUAUGUAUACAUGCUCGAGGCCACGCAGUUAGAGAGGGGAGCUGGGCUCGGAAGCCAGCAGAGUGACUCCCCCGCCUGCCUCAGUCACUGUCCCAUCCAGGCAGUUCUUACUGGGAAGUCAUUAGAAGAACACUCAGAGUUUCUGACAGCAAUUUUGCUAAGAGAUAUUGAUUCGUUAACUAUUUUAACUUGCUCUUUGUUUCCUCUUUUUACUUACUCUUGUCCUCAACCAUCGUAUCUGUGAAACCAUUGUUUUAAUGUGCUAGUUUCAGAUUUUCUAAUAUACAUGAAACUAAACACACAUUAAAAUAAAUGAAAAAGUGAUAAAAUAAAAUUUAAAAAUUCAUCUGUAUACCACCUACCAGUAACUUUUAUGCUCUGCCAGUGGUAAGAAUAUUUUCCUCCGUCACUGCUCAGAAAUAUCACUUGUUAAUGAGGUAGAAAAAGGUCAGAUCAUACCCAACACUUCUGAAUGGGGAAGAAAGAGGCAGGACCCGGACUCAAGGAUUCGACUCCAGACCUUUCCCUCUGCACCACCAGCCUCCCUCCUGUGCCUCCUCUAUGUUCCCUGGAAUCCCGAGGAUGCAGCUGGGGGCUUCAGAAAGCUUUAAGGAUUCCCAUGUUCCUUGGAAUGGAGCCCAGAAAUGGAAAUCUGAUAUAGAGCUAUUGAGGCAAUGAAGCCCAGCCUUUGAAAACGGACAGACCUGCCAUGGAGUAAGAGGUAGCCCUGAGGCAAACCCUGCCCCCCACGGCCCACUCCCAGAGUGAGGAGACUUCAGGCCAUUCCCACUCAUCCAUGGGGCUAGAAGACUGAAUGUGGCAGCCACCCCCAAGCCUGCUGACUGGCUCCAUAGCAGAGUAAUAUCCAGAGAAAGAGGCUUUGAGGUGUUAAGAGGCCAUGUGGGGAACCCCAUGUGGCAGGGAACUGUGAGCAGCCUCUUGGAGCUGAUGACAUCCUUGACUGACAGCCAGCAAGAAGCUCUCGGUCCUUCCAGAGGAAGGAAUUGAAUUCUGCCAACAACUUAAGUGAGCUUAGAAGUGAGUCCUUACCCACACAAGUCCCAGCACGUGUGGCAAGAAUUGGGAUAUGCUGAAUUGGAAGAAGGAAAAAAAGUAAAAAUAUUAGCAAAAUAGUUUAAAGGAUAAGCUAUAAGAGAAGAUGGAAACAACUGACAGUGAUCCAAAAGGGAAACAUUAAGGCAAGAGGAAAUGUUAAUGUAGGCUAAAAACACUUCUGCCUGGGAAGAAAAUGACAAAUUCCCCUAAAGGGCGAUUCACACGCAAUGAUAAGCAUAGUAAGAGUUGAAUGCACACCUACUGAAUUAAACAACAAGAAUAUUGACUGAAUUAAACCACAAGAAUAUUAAAAAUGAUUAGUUAGCAUAUGGGAUCUUCAUUGUACCAAACUUUUAUUCAUUCAGCAAAUAUUAGCAUGCAGUAACUCUUUUAUAGUUCACGGCAACUCCAUGAGGUAAAUAAUGUUGUCAUUCUCCAUUUUACAGACAAGGAGGCUGGAAAAGCUUAUGGAACUUGCCCAAAUCGCAUGGCUAGAAAGUAAAAGAGCUGGGUUUUGAAUUCAGGACUCUCUGAUCCUAAUUUUCUCGCAUUUAAUAUAAGAAAUCUCAAGGGCUAUGGUGGUAAUAGAAAGGAAAUGCAGGGCACAGCCUAUGUUAAGAAAUGCCCACGUGCAGAUGGAAGGAAAGACAAUGAGCUAUUCUUAGGGGCUGAGGAGCACAGCAGUUGCAGAAAAUGCCCCAGAGGGAUGAGGCACCAAGAUAGAGUGUGAGAACUGCUCUCAGGAUAAAACAGUAAGAAUUGUGGAUCCCCGGUUCUUUGAUUUUUAAAACCACUAUGCCAAUAUUGGAGCAAAUUAAAGAGAUUACCUGCAUCAGAAUCACUUGGGAAUCCUGUUAAAGUCCAGAUCCCUGCACCAGACUUCAGACCAUUUUUAACAAGCCACCAUUGACUGGGAUGCAUACCAAAGCUAGAGAAAGAUUCUGCACUAAGAUGUGAGCAGAGGACGCUCCUCACUUAUAGUAACAACCAUAGCGACAGAACGUGUUUGAGUAACACUGACAAGAAGGUUAGCUCACUGGGGAGCCCAAAUCACAUAUUUAUCCAGCCCAAAUCCACGGCAUGGGUAAAAAAUUUUUUAAAGACCAUGAAUAAGGUGAUCCCCCCACUCAACCCUAAACAACCCAAGCGAAUGAAUGAAUGAAUAAGACAUGAUAUAAGCUGAAACAUGUGCCCCUGGGCUGGUCCCCCUGGAUGAAGCUGCAGUGAAUGGAGGUGAACACAGCACUGACUCUGCUGGGCAUCGACAGCUGGAUCACGAAAAUAGAGGGUGGUGCAUGUCCCGUCAGCAGUAGCCAAGCCAGAGGGAAGGCUGGGUGGACUGUCAACUUCAGAAACGCCAGAAAGGUGCCUGAAAUUUGAGAAUUUCUAGAACAAAAAAGAUUCUAUGCUUUUUUUAUCUCUGCAUGUUGGAUGUGUUUUUCAUUCAUGUUAUUCUACAUGCAGCAUGACUUUUGGUACAGGGUAUCAAAGAAGUGGUCAAGCUGCUCAUGAGAUUGUGGCCAAUCUUGCCUCUUCCAGCUAGAUAAAGGCUGUGGAACACUGGAUUUCACCUUCUUCACUUAAAUUUUUUUCCAGCUUUAUUGAGAUGUAAUUGACAUACAACAUUGUAUACAAUGUUUAAGAAUACAAUGUGUUGAUAUGAUAUAAUUAAUAUGUUGCAAAAUUAUAACCACUGUAGUGUUAGCUGACACUUCCAUCAUGUCACAUAAUUGCCAUUUCUCUUCUGUGGUAAAGACAUUUCAGGUCUACUCAGUUAACAACUUUCAGGUAUAUAAUACGUUAUUGUUAACUAUAAUCACCAUGCUGAAUGUCAGAUUUCCAGAACUUCGUCUUCUAACUAGAAGCUUGUAUCCUCACCUUCUUUGAUUUUAUACUUCCUGGUAAAAGGGUGAAAUGCAGACUGUAGAUGAAACAGAGAGAUGACUUGUUAAGGAAUCUAAUGGACCCUUUCCUCUCUGCCAUUUCUGUAGAAAGGUUUUAUUCCAGCAUCUGUAUUUUAUCCCAGCUUCUUACAAGUCUCUCUUAAUACAGACCAUUGCCUGAAUCCCUGGAGCCCGUGUACUUCUAAGGCAUCCCUGCGGUGUGUUUACUGUUAUUACUCUAGCCAACAGACGUGAAACUGAGAUGAUAUUUCUAGAAAUAAAAUGGCUCCUCAUUUCCCUACCUGUCUCAGAAUCACACUGGAUCCUGAAACAAAGCCAGGAACACCACUCAUAGCAACUCUCUAGCUGCAAGGAGAUUUGUUUUCCAAGCACCUGACAAGCUACAUCUGAUUCAUCCUCGAAACCGACUUGUCAGGGGAAUAAACACCAAGUGUCAGAACUUCCCAAGAAAUCUAGUGAUGAAAAGCCCUUUAACAAUGAACAAAUUAAAUUCAGUUCUAACGCCAGGAACAGAAAGAAAGCGAAAUGAAGAGGCACAGAAGAGCAAGACCAUGUACUGUAUACAUUUGAUGAUCUAGGAUUUAAGUCCAUGGCCCUUCCAUUACCGAGAAGUAGAACGGAGGCGGCAUGGGGCUUGCUGGUGCAGACAUCUCAUAAUUCCAAGCAGUGGUAGCCACCAAGAAGAAAGGAGACGAGAAGUCCAGAGCGGGCCGUUGCUUAUCCAUCUCUUCAUGUCCCCAGGAGGCAGUUCUCUCUGUGCACCUCUGACACUUGGGACUAGAGCUGGCCUCCAUUUGGCCAGUAGGUGGAAUGAGAAACACGGAUCACAGGACAAGGACUAGUUCUUUACGUUUCUUUUGUAGACAUCAUGACCAAGGACUGCGCUCUACACGACCCAGUCGAGGUCUCUGAGGCCCUGGAGGAUGGUAGAGCCACACGAUGAAAGCGACUAGGUCCGUGCAUCACUCUGUGGAGCAUAGUGCUUCCCCCACACUGGCCUGGGACGUGAGAAAGAAAGCCUCCGCCUACGGGUCCCACUGCUCCUCGCUCCACCUUUGCCUGCGCUCCUGGAACACCCACGUGACCUUCUGCCUGGAGCCCCCACGAGACCUCAAGGAUUGCAGGCUUUCAUCCUUAGUCUGAAGCUUUAUUUCAGAAAACAAGUUGGAAGAAAAGAAGGGUAUCUGGAAAACUUACCUCAAGAAACAUUUUUUCCAUGAAACUCUCAUUGAACCUUGGAGUCCUGAACAGGCAUAGCACCUUGGAGGGCAGACGUUGCUGUGCCUGAGAACAAGAAAGCCCCUGUGGUUUCCUUCUCAGCUCCGUGCUUUACAAAUGAUGCACCUUUGUGUCUUUACAGCAGAGACUACGGUCUAGUCCUCUCCUGGGUGCUCUGGUCCAUUGCCAAGUCCUCUAAAGCCUGAUGGCACCUUCCUCACAGCCUGAGAGCAAAAUAACGUGGUGUUAAGGCCCAGGAAGCAAGCUCAUCUUGUACAAACCUGUGCCAGCCCCAGAAGCAACCAUUUCUUUGAGGAGCCCUAGUUCUUUCUGGUGGGCGAAGGUACUAGAGAUUAAGAUCUGGGCACCAGAUUGAAGCCAUCUCUGCAAGGGCAGGGACUUGAUCUUAUCCAUGGCUGCCUUCCCAGGACCUGAACAAGCAUCCUCAGAAACAUCAGGCACUGGUUUACCUGGUUGGGAUUCAGCAAUAAACCAGACCACGUGGGUGCUGACUUCAUGGAACCCAUAUUCCAGUGCAGAAGACAGAUAAACACAAUUAAUGAAUGGAUUCAUGAGUAAUUUGAGGUAUCGGCCAGUACUAUGAAGACAUUUUAUUCAGGAGAAGAGGAGAACAAGUGAUAGCACAGUGGAGCUUCACCACUUUGUAACCAGAGAGAUGAUUCGCUUAAAAUACUCCACGGAUGGCCAAGGCCCAGCCUGCGUCGUUGCCUUUCUUGGGACCAAUUUCUCUGGCCAGAGAAGGACUCCUUCCCACUCUACCCACCACACUUGGCCGCAGCACCAAUCCACCACGAGUUUAGCUGAGGAUUUGUUUCCCUUUAAGGACCCAAUACAUCUAAAAAACGUCGUCACUUGAUAGGUCGCUACUCUAUGCCUGGCCUUGAAACCAGCGAUUCGAUGUGCUGAGUAUUCACCUGGAUUUGAAAUAGUGUGAAUUUGCAUUUCAGAAUAAAAAUACUAUGUGGCAAACACAGGCAAGCCAGAUUUUUCACAAAGAGAAAUGAGAGCUGCACUUGGAAAUCCUGGUGGUCAGCCUCUCCUGGGAGGGACACUGCUUGUCCCUGGGGUGACCUGGAGGCAUAUUGGGUAAAUCAAAAUUAUUUGGUACACUCAAUCCCUUUGAGGUUCAAGCUGAGCUUCUGAAUCAAAUACUUAUCAAACCAUUGACUUGCUUCUGAAGCAGGAAUUUUCUGUUUGGAAACCAGAGCUGUGUUCACACUGAGGGGCAAAGGACAUACAAUUAGUCUCUGUUUCUGUAUGACUUCAUUCAGUUACAUGGAUACAAAUGAAAUUUGAAACCUCCUAAUGAUUUCUGAUUUUUUUCUUGUGGAGGCAAUUACUACAAUUCCAGUGAUCUGUCAUUUUAGACGACCACUAAAUAUAAUCACCAGAUAGUAAGAAAUGCUCAACAAGCAAUAGGGAAAGCGUUCAGAUAAAAUACCCUGUAACUCCCAGACAUUUUUGUCUCACCGUAUUUAGCAGCUCAGCUUGUGAUAUGUAUGUGUUCGUGGGGUGAUAACUAUGACUGUUAAAGGCAGGUAGAUAAAGGAAGACAUUUGGAGAUAUAUGGUGUUAACAGUUCAGUAAGAUAAAUGCUUGUCUUUUAAAGCUGAAUUCCAGAAGGAAUUGCAGUGAAAGAACUGGCACAUUUUUUUCUAUGCCAGAAAAACAUACUAUCUUGCACCUAGAUUGAAGACUGGUGUAUGAUAUGCUGAACAAUAUUGGGAUGACACUAUUUUAUUUCUAAAAUAUGUACAUUUUUUUCUUGUAUCACUUUUUAGCAAAAAAAAUGUGGGACUCUGGGGAGU